AUACGGAGGGUGCAAGCGUUACUCGGAAUCACUGGGCGUAAAGCGCGCGCAGGCGGCUUGAUAAGUUGGAUGUGAAAUCCUACAGCUCAACUGUAGAACUGCACUCGAAACUUCCAGACUUGAGUGUGAGAGGGGUAAAGGGAAUUCCCGGUGUAAGGGUGAAAUCUGCAGAGAUCGGGAAGAACACCAGUCGCGAAGGCGCUUUACUGGCUCACUACUGACGCUGAGGGACGAAAGCUAGGGGAGCGAACGGGAUUAGAUACCCGUGUAGUCC
rnacentral:rRNA from 1 species